rnacentral:rRNA from 1 species
AAUUGACGGGGGCCCUGCACAAGCGGUGGAGCACGUGGUUUAAUUCGAUGAUAAGCGAAGAACCUUACCUGGGCUUGACAUACUAGCAGUAGGAGCCAGAGAUGGUAACGACCCCUACUUUUGGUAGGGGAACUAGUACAGGUGAUGCAUGGCUGUCGUCAGCUCGUGUCGUGGGACGUUGGGUUAAGUCCCGAAACGAGCGCAACCCCUGUUGUUAGUUGCCAGCGGGUAAUGCCGGGGACUCAACAAGACUGACUGGUGAAUAGCCGGAGGAAGGAGGGGAUGACGUCAAGUCAUCAUGUCCCUUAUGUCCAGGGCGACACACAUGCUACAAUGGGAGGUACAAAGGGCUGCUAAACCGUAAGGUCAUGCGAAUCCCAGAAAGCCUUCCUUAGUUCGGAUUGAGGUCUGCAACCCGACCUCAUGAAGCCGGAAUCGCUAGUAAUCGCAGGUCAGCCACACUGCGGUGAAUAUGUACUCAGGGCUUG